rnacentral:sRNA from 1 species
UGGCAAAGCCUUUAACCAGUUUUCACACCUUACUACAGAUAAGAUAACUCAUAUUGGAGAGAAAUCUUACAAGUGUGAAUAAUGUGGUAAAGUCUAUAAAAAAUUGUCACACUUGAUCGUAGGUAAGAAAAUUCAUACUGGCGAAAACUACCAAUGUGAACAAUGUGGCCAAGCUUUGAACCAAUGCUCAUGCCUUAAUGUAUAGGAAAGCAUUUAUACUUGAGAAAACGUGUACAAAUGUAGACAAAGUUAAAAAGCCAUUAAUACCUGCUCACAUCGUACUCAAAAUCAGAGCGUUCAUACUAAAUAAAAACAUUAGAAGUGUAAUUACUGUCAAAAGAUCGAUCAGAAAAUAUGUCUUUAAAGUACAGAAGAGUAUUUAUUUUGAAAAAGCAUUACAAAUAUGAAGAGGCAUUAUUUAUGACCUUUUCUAUGGAAAGCUUUUUAAUUUAAAGUCUGUUUUAUUUGAUACGGAGUCUUGCUCCAUUGCCAGGCUGGAGUGCAGUGGCGCAAUCUCAUCCCACUGCUCACUGCAACCUCUGCCUCCCCUAUUGAAGUGAUUCUCCUGUCUCAGCCUCCCGAGUAGCUGGGACUACAGGCACACACCACCAUGCUCAGCUAAUUUUUGUAUUUUCAGAAGAGACGGGGUUUCAUCAUAUUCACCAGGCUGGU